CAUGAUUACCUUAUCAACAAACUGUGAACUUUAUAUUACUAUUCGUGUGUACAAAUUUACUUUGUAUCACACUGUCAUUCGAUGAACAUUAGAUAGCUGGCUUGUUUUCAACAAACUUUCUCAGCUGAUUGUUUUUGAGACUAAACAUCUUGAAACAAUCACCAACAAACAUAGUAA
rnacentral:misc_RNA from 1 species